AUUGAACGCUGGCGGCAAGCCUAACACAUGUAAGUCGAACGAGUGGCGGACGGGUGAGUAAUGUCUGGGAAACUGCCUGAUGGAGGGGGAUAACUACUGGAAACGGUAGCUAAUACCGCAUACCAUCGGAUGUGCCCAGAUGGGAUUAGCUAGUAGGUGGGGUAAAGGCUCAACUAGGCGACGAUCCCUAGCCGGUCUGAGAGGAUGACCAGCCACACUGGACCUGCGACACGGUCCAGCUCCUUACGGGGGGCAGCAGUGGGGAAUAUCGCACAAUGUGCGCAAUCCUGAUGCAGCCAUCCCGCGUGUAUGAAGAAGGCCUUCGGGUUUUAAAGUACUUUCUGCGGGGAGGCGUUACCCGCAGAGGAAGCACCGGCUAACUCCGUGCCAGCAGCCGCGGUAAUAC
rnacentral:rRNA from 1 species